GGAGUAAUGGCUGCUAGUUGGCUCUGGUUGGGGGGGAGAUUAUACCAUUUGAGUCUUAUUUUAUUCUCAUUUAAUUCUUCAGGUCCCCGAGGUGAAGCUCUGCAGCAUGGCCAGUCUGGGACACUGCCUCACUUCCUGGAGGAGCCUGUUGAUGCUUACAUCAUCAAGAGUAACCCCAUCAAACUCCGGUGUCAAGCUCGGCCUGCUCUUCAAAUCUUCUUCAAGUGCAACGGCGAAUGGGUCCACCAGAGCCAGCACAUGUCGCAGGAGCACACCGACAUGGGGACAGGGCUGAAGAUCCGCGAGGUGAUGAUCAACGUGUCACGUCAGCAGGUGGAGGACUUUCAUGGACCCGAGGAUUACUGGUGUCUGUGUGUCGCCUGGAGUCACCUGGGAACCUCCAAGAGCCGCAAGGCAACUGUCCGGAUCGCCUACCUGAGGAAGAACUUUGAGCAGGACCCCCAAGGCACUGAGGUGCCUCUGAAUGGCAUGAUUGUGUUGCACUGUCGUCCCCCAGAGGGAGUGCCUGUGGCUGAGGUGGAAUGGCUGAAAAAUGAAGAACCUCUUAACUCUGACGGUGCCAUUGAUACAAGAGGCGACCAUAAUCUCAUCAUCUCUGAAGCCCGUCUCUCUGAUUCCGGAAACUAUACCUGUGUUGCCAGCAACAUUGUGGCCAAGAGACGCAGUGCCACUGCCACUGUUGUAGUUUAUGUGAAUGGGGGCUGGUCAUCAUGGACAGACUGGUCUCCCUGUAAUGUACGCUGUGGUCGCGGUGUGCAGAAACGUUCUCGCACUUGCACAAAUCCAGCUCCUCUCAAUGGGGGAGCCUUCUGUGAGGGCAUGUCGGUACAGAAGAGCACCUGCAACACACUGUGUCCAGUGGAUGGCGGCUGGGGAGAGUGGAGCGAGUGGUCAGUGUGUAGUUCAGACUGUGAGAGGCAGCGCGGCAGAGAGUGUACAGCUCCGGAGCCCAAACAUGGAGGGCGGCUGUGUGACGGGGUGGCACUGGCUACAGACAACUGCACCGGCGGCCUCUGCACACAGAGUGUGGAGAACAGCAGCGAUGUGGCCUUGUAUUCAGGCCUUGCUGCGGGGGUGGUGACAGUGGUGCUGCUGAUCAUCGCUGUCACUCUUUACCGAAGGAGCCAGAGUGAGUACGGUGUGGAUGUCAUCGACUCCUCCGCCCUCACUGGGGGCUUCCAAUCCUUCAGCUUCAAGACCUCUCGUCAAGCAAACCCCCUGCUAAUUAAUUCAUCCAUGCAACCUGAUCUGACAGUGUCGCGUACCUACACCAGCCCCAUGUGUUUUCAGGACUCUAUUGACAAGGAGCUGAUGGCCGAGCGCUCACUCCUUGACCCAUUGCCCGAUCUCCAAGUCAAAGGUCAGUGUUAUUUCAUUGUAUCUCUAGGUGUGGCAGAAAGGGCGGAGUACCUUGUCAUGUCCCACCCUCAGACAUUUCCAAGGGGCCUGGCUCCAGACUAUAGAGGGGUCGCAGUUGGGACGACGCUGGGCAGAAGAGGCAAAAACCUUUUCACUCCGCAAGUGUCUUUGACUCCCUGCAAGCCUCUCCACAAAGCAACUGCGGUGUUUGGUCAUGCUGGAGGCAGGCUGGUGGUGCCUAACACAGGUAUCAGUCUGUUGGUGCCUCAUGGGGGGAUCGCGGAAGACACUACCUGGGAAAUGUAUAUGAUCAUCAACCAGGAGGACAGCAGCACUGUGUCCGAGGACGGGCCAGAGAUCUUCUUGAGCCCUACUGUCACGUACGGCCCACCAGGCCUUGACCUGUCCUGUCCCAUAGCCAUGACCAUAGCCCAUUGUGCGGAGGUGGCGGCUGAUAAUUGGACCAUCCGGCUAAAGAGACAAAUGCAGGACAACAAGUGGGAGGAAGUGAUGUCUGUGGACGAGGAGAGCACGUCCUGCUACUGUCUGCUAGACGCCCAGAGGUGCCAUGUGCUAUUGGAGCAUCCGGGUCGCUACGCCCUGGUGGGGGAGCCACUGAACCAGGAGGCGGCCAAGCGGCUGAGGCUGGCUGUGUUUGGAAGUCCGGAUAACUGCAACUCUCUGGGCUUCACCCUCAGGGUCUACUGUGUGGACGACACGCCUCAUGCAUUUCAGGAGGUGGCGGUGGGCGAGCGCAGCAGGGGCGGGCGGCUGCUGGAGGAGCCUAAAAUGAUGCUGUUUCGGGGGAACACUUUCAGUCUCCAGGUGUCCAUCCAGGACAUCCCACAGUUACUCUGGAGCAUCAAGCCUUUCACCACCUGCCAGGAGUUCUCCUUUUCUCAGGUGUGGGCCAGUAACCAGCGUCCCCUGCAGUGUGCCUUCUCUUUGGAGCGAUACAACCACUCCUCGUCUCAGCUCUCCUGCAAGAUCGGCAUCCGCCAAGUCAAAGGCGAGGAGCAGAUUCUCCAGGUCUAUACGUCUGUGGUGGAGAAUGAAAAGGGAGUGGUUCCCUUUUUCACUCAGUCAGACUGCACCAUCACCUCUCAGACAGGGUCAAGGGCCUUUAAAAUCCCUGUGUCCAUCCGUCAGCGGAUCAGUGCCACCUUUGACACCGCUAACGCCAACGGGAAGGACUGGCAGCUUUUGGCUCAAAAGCUCCACAUAGACAGGAACCUUUGCUACUUUGCAUGUCAGGAGAGCCCAUCAUCAGUGAUUCUGAGUCUGUGGGAAGCCCAGCACCAGGACUCGGGGGACCUGGACUCUCUGGCCAGUGCUCUUGAGGAAAUCGGCAAAGUCCAGUCCCCCAGGACCGCCACUCUUGGCUGCAGCAGAGAAGAACGGGACUCAGAAUUCACUUAA
rnacentral:lncRNA from 1 species